GAUGAACGCUGGCGGCGUGCCUAAUACAUGCAAGUCGAGCGAACGGACGAGAAGCUUGCUUCUCUGAUGUUAGCGGCGGACGGGUGAGUAACACGUGGAUAACCUACCUAUAAGACUGGGAUAACUUCGGGAAACCGGAGCUAAUACCGGAUAAUAUUUUGAACCGCAUGGUUCAAAAGUGAAAGACGGUUUUGCUGUCACUUAUAGAUGGAUCCGCGCUGCAUUAGCUAGUUGGUAAGGUAACGGCUUACCAAGGCAACGAUGCAUAGCCGACCUGAGAGGGUGAUCGGCCACACUGGGACUGAGACACGGUCCAGACUCCUACGGGAGGCAGCAGUAGGGAAUCUUCCGCAAUGGGCGAAAGCCUGACGGAGCAACGCCGCGUGAGUGAUGAAGGUCUUCGGAUCGUAAAACUCUGUUAUUAGGGAAGAACAUAUGUGUAAGUAACUGUGCACAUCUUGACGGUACCUAAUCAGAAAGCCACGGCUAACUACGUG
rnacentral:rRNA from 1 species